CCGAACAAAAGGUAGGGGGACCUUACCAUAAACAACAACGUUGAAGUUCCAACUUUACAUUUUACAGAUGUCGCUUUAACAUUUCCCAACGUAUUCAGUAGCAGUAAAAUCUUUGAAGCUAAGCCAAGUUUCUUUCUUUAGUUUCUAUCGGUUGCCAAAUUGGUAACGUUCUAAGCUUUCUUGGGUUCUUUUAAUUUUGCCAAGAACCCAUUAAUCCUAAAAUGGUUGGGGAGUCAUUUUCGUGUUGGCAAAUGCGUAGCUUUCAGAAAGGUGGUUGAUGUGUUUGUUUGUCUCUAUUAUCCUAUUUUCUGAAUGCUUAUAUAUAUAUAUAUAAUCUGAACAUCUUCAGUCUUUGUCCCUUUUUCUUAUUUGUGCUGUUAUGUCUCUUCUCAUUGAAAAUUUGCCACCUUUUUUCUUUUUCUUUGUUUGUUCCAAUUUAUUACUAUUAUCUCUUAUUGGUAUGAUUGCAUUUGUGAAUAUAAUGAAUUAUCCAUAAUUUCUUAUAGCUUCUCUCGGGAAUUUAUGCUUGCUGGCUUCUCUUCACCUCUUCCUUCUUCUCUAGUUUAAUUCCCAGAUUGGAGGCAAUUUGCACGAACAAUACCCCUGGCUCCUAAUGAAGG